ACACAGGGAUUGCCUCAGUAACGGCGUAGUGAAGCGGCAAGAGCUCAAAUUUGAAAGCUGGCCCCCUCGGGGUCCGCAUUGUAAUUUGCAGAGGAUGCUUCGGGAGCGGCCCCCAUCUAAGUGCCCUGGAACGGGCCGUCAUAGAGGGUGAGAAUCCCGUCUGGGAUGGGGUGUCCGCGCCCGUGUGAAGCUCCUUCGACGAGUCGAGUUGUUUGGGAAUGCAGCUCUAAAUGGGUGGUAAAUUUCAUCUAAAGCUAAAUACUGGCCGGAGACCGAUAGCGCACAAGUAGAGUGAUCGAAAGAUGAAAAGCACUUUGAAAAGAGAGUUAAACAGCACGUGAAAUUGUUGAAAGGGAAGCGCUUGCGACCAGACUCGCUCGCGGGGUUCAGCCGGCAUUCGUGCCGGUGUACUUCCCCGCGAGCGGGCCAGCGUCGGUUUGGGCGGCCGGUCAAAGGCCCUCGGAAUGUAACGCCCCCCGGGGCGUCUUAUAGCCGAGGGUGCCAUGCGGCCAGCCCGGACCGAGGAACGCGCUUCGGCUCGGACGCUGGCAUAAUGGUCGUAAGCGACCCGUCUUGAAACACGGACCAAGGAGUCUAACAUCUACGCGAGUGUUCGGGUGUCAAACCCGUGCGCGCAGUGAAAGCGAACGGAGGUGGGAACCCCUCGGGGUGCACCAUCGACCGAUCCUGAUGUCUUCGGAUGGAUUUGAGUAAGAGCGUAGCUGUUGGGACCCGAAAGAUGGUGAACUAUGCCUGAAUAGGGCGAAGCCAGAGGAAACUCUGGUGGAGGCUCGCAGCGGUUCUGACGUGCAAAUCGAUCGUCAAAUUUGGGUAUAGGGGCGAAAGACUAAUCGAACCAUCUAGUAGCUGGUUCCUGCCGAA
rnacentral:rRNA from 1 species